rnacentral:rRNA from 1 species
UAGUCUCGCACAGAUGCAUAUCAAUAAGCGGAGGAAAAGAAACUAACAAGGAUCCCCCUAGUAACGGCGAGUGAAGCGGGAAGAGCUCAAAUUUGAAAUCUUAAAGGGUUUCCCUUUACGAAUUGUAGUUUAAAGAAGUGUUUUCUGUUGAGGUUUUGGUAAAAGUUCUUUGGAAUAGGACAUCAUAGAGGGUGAGAAUCCCGUAUUUGACCUUUACUUUCAACUUUGUGAUACACUUUCAAAGAGUCGGAUUGUUUGGGAAUGCAGUCCAAAAUGGGUGGUAAAUUUCAUCUAAAGCUAAAUAUUGGCGAGAGACCGAUAGCGAACAAGUACCGUGAGGGAAAGAUGAAAAGAACUUUGAAAAGAGAGUUAAACAGUACGUGAAAUUGUCAAAAGGGAAGCGUUUGACACCAGUGUUGUUUUUCUGAAAAUCAAUUAAAGAACUGUUUAUGCUAAGUUGUUUAGACUUUAUCAGCUAUCUGUUUAGUUUUGAGCUUUUCUUUAAUGCACUUUUCAGUUAACAAGUCAACAUCAAUUUCUUUUGCUGUAAAAAAGCUUGAGGAAGGUGGCUUGAGAUUCGUCUUAAGUGUUUAUAGCCUCUUGCCUAUGCAGUCGGAGAGAUUGAGGUCUGCAGCGUAGAUCCUUCGGGGCUAAAUGCAUUUGUGCUAAGUUAUAGCAUUUUAUAGACAACUUGUUGACUAUGAUUUGUCUUGUAGCUUACUCGCUUAUGUUAUUUUACCUACGCUUAGGAUGUUGAUCUGUAGUGCGUGCGC